UUAUGUGUGUGAGUGCUACACCCACCCUAGGGGUAACCUGUAUACAAUGUAAGGGACAGAAAGAGUCUUCUCUCCACACUUCUGUCUACUCUUUCAUGAUGGGUUUUUUUUUUUUUUUUUGUCUUUUUCCUUUUUAUCGGUACCAGGGAUGAACUCACGACUGCCUGCUUGCAAGGCAGGCGCUUAUGCCGCUGAGCUAAAUCCCCAGUCCCUCUCCUGUCUACUCUUACUGCUUUUGCUGUCUUCCCUGCCAUGAACUGUUGCCUUCUGCCAUGAGCCACCCUGCCUUGGAGCCAGCUGAUUACAGACUGACCUCCACAGAGUAUGAGCUACACAAACUUUUUCUUCCUUAAUUUUGGGUAUUGUGUAUUUUGUCCAAGCAAUGAGAGAAAAAUAACUGACACACAGGCCUAGGAUAGCACUGGGCAGCAGAUAGGUCUCACCAAGUCCUGGGAACAUUGAGGACAGGUCAACACCUGCCUGGGGCUAGCUUGGUCUACUUCCGGUGGGUUUGCCUAUAAGCAAAAUCUCACAGGGAGCCCUUCGGGUGGCUCCUGCUCUGACCCUGCUCUCCAUCUUCCUCCCCUUCUCCAUCUUCAUCUCCAUGCACAGGACCUGCAGCCACAGCUCAGUUCAGGGCAGAAGCUCUGGGAGCCACCGGAGCAUUUCUGUGCCCUGACCAUAUCUGGAGAUGGCUGAUCAGCAAAGGAAGACAGGAUCUUGCUAUGUAGCCCAGGCUGCCCCUGAACUUGUGAUGCUUCAGCCUUGCCUCCUGAAUGCUGUGCAUCUAGGAUGACAGUUCUGAGAAACGCCCGAGAAAACCGCUCACGCGCAGGGAGGAGCCAGCUCUGCGGAACCGGGGUCGGCUGCCUAACUUUGGGCUGUCUGCUUUCUCGCUUGGCAGGUGAGGGGAGCCAUCAUGCCCUCCCUCCCACCCAAGGGCCAGGCUACGUGAGAGGAAGGCGUCUCUGGGUGCUCAGUCCCUGGCUGCUCUGCGGGGAGAAUGUGACAGUGGUGCUUCUGCCUCACUGGGCCAAGAACGAGGGCACGGAGAGGAGAGCAGGCGGAGAGGGACAGAGGUCCUCAGACAGAUGCUGCUGUCGGUGACAGGAAUGAGUGGGAGCCCCUGAAGUCCUGGCUGCUCACGUGACCAGCGUUUCCCCCAAACCCACAGUCCCCCAUCCAGCUUCCAGGCUAAAAGCCACAGCCCCACCGUCUGGAAGGUGACCCCACACCCUACUCAGAGAUGCUUCCUGGUGGGGGGUGCAACAAUCUCAGGGACUCAAACGUUGGGAUUCUGUGUGCCCCUGGGACUCCUCACUGCAGAGCUGUCACAUAUGGCAUUGCAGGGGCAUAAAAAUAUUCGAGGAACGAGGCCCCCACCCCCCACAGAACCCGGCACUGACCUUGGCAUCCAUGGCACCGGCAGCGCUGGAGCCUCCUGCUCCCUUUCACUCAGCUGUGGCACUUGGCGGCCUGGAACAGGACACACACUCGGCAGGUGGCUUAGCCUGCAGGACACCCGUGAGGGAAGGAAGGAACAGGUGGGCCUGAGCAGCUGAGGUCCCUGUCACCCUGUCCAGCCGACCUCGGGUGCUCAGCCUGGGUGCUUGUUUUCCCAUUUAAUGCAGAACCACAGCAGUGCCUGGUACCCAUGAGCAAGCUCUGGUGUCUGCCUCAGGCCAGAGCCCUGCCAGGGCCCUUGGCAAUGGCCGGUCCUCCUGUGUGCUCUGACUGACCCUUUAUUUUAAAUAAAUACCUACAUUAGUUGGUAACUUUCCUAUCAGAAUAAACUCAGCUAAUGAAAACAUAUCUGAGGUUGAGUACAGUGGGGCACUCCUAUAAUCCCAGCACUUAGGAGGCUGAGGCAGGAGGAUCUUGCAAGUUUUGAGCCUACCCUGGGCUACAAAAUGAACCCAAGGCCAGCCUGAACUGCAUAAUGAGACCCUGUCUCAAAAAGACAAAAAACAGGCUGGUCCGAGUGCAGUGGUGUUUACAACUAAUUGAUCACAACCAGUUACAGAUUUCUUUGUUCCUUCUCCACUCCCACUGCUUCACUUGACUAGCCUAAAAAAAAAAUAAAAUAAAGUAAAAAAAUAAAAAACAAAACAAAACCAAAAAUCCCCCAGAAACAUACCUGCAAGUUUUCAGAGAAUUUGUCUUUCUUUUCUUUUUUUGGUUCAAUAAUUUCAUUGAAAGAUAUAUCUCUUAGUACCAAACAUAAUGGGAGUUGUUUAGCUUAUGUCUGCCAGCUCAAAAUUAAUACUGAUGUUUUCAAAAUAUUGAAAUGUAUCAGCCUUUUGAUAAAACUGAAGUUAUCAACAAAAUGUGGUUUACAAAAAGUUAAAGGUAGAAUAACUGGUUGUUUGGUUUAGUUUUCCAUGUUUAUUUGUCUAUAAUAUGAUGUCCUUUCUGGAUACAUUCAGGCUUCAGGCUGCACUGAGUUACUGUUUACAACGCCAGUAACAUAUGCCUGCCUCCUCAUGUUCACUGGCUUCACGGAGGUGCCAAACACUGCCUCAGCAAUUUCAUGACAAUGUGGAGGGGCCUACUUAAUUUUCUUAACACAUAGUAUGGAAAUUUGUGGAAGUAUAUUCUAUUCCUUUAAGAAACAAAACCAGCAGCAAUGUCAGUUGUGUUUUUUUUUGUCUUUUUCGUUUUUAUCGAUACCAGGGAUCGAACUCAUGACCGCCUGCUUGCAAGGCAGGUGCUUAUGCCACUGAGCUAAAUCCCCAGCCCCAGCAAUGUCAGUUUUAUAGAAACAGUCUGUUACGGCUUGAGUCUGGAUGUCCCCCGUCCCCCCAAAGCCUCAUGCAGUCACGCAGGCGGGAUUCUAGAGUUUGUGAGAGACUCAUGGUCCGGUGCUGGGACUAUGGGUGUGGCCCACAUACACUCUAAGGAACAGAAAGAGCCUUCUGUCCAUGCUCCUCCCCUUUGCUCUUGUUGUUUUUGCUGCCUUCCCCUGCCAUGAAUUGCUGCCAUCUGCCACGUGCCACUCUGCCUUAGAGUCAGCUGAUUACAGGCUGAAACCUCCACAAACUGUGAGUUAAACAAACAUCUUUAAAUUUAAAUGUAAUUCCCAUAUAGAAAUAAAAUUCUCACCUCUGAAUUAUCUAUUGCUUGCAUUAUGGGUGUCAAUAAACCAUUAUAUCAUCUAGAAUCUAACCUUUAUUAGGCCUUUAAAAAGUGCACAUGUGAAAUGUCAGCUUUGAUGUAAAUCCCAUAAUUUAAAAUUUAAUAUUUAAAUUAAGUAGGUUACCAUUUUCAGUAUCACCUACAUAAAACAUAGUGACUCAAUAUAGAAAGUUAGAUUAAUAUUAGAAAUGAAGAUUCACUAUUUACCUUUUUGGGGUUGUAUUAACUAUUUCACGUUCAUGCCUUUAGCUUUACAGAUGAAUUCAAAUCUAAAGAAUUCUACUACCGCAUUGGAUUAAUCAGACAGUUUCUCCAAGUUGGAGAAUCACACUAACCUAGUUAUGGUAUUCCAAGGUUUCAUAACUUAAACCCAUUAUAACAUCACAGAAUGUAUAGGUCAGAGUUGUGGAGAAAGGUUUCAAAGAAAUGAUUUUUUGCUGCUGCAAAAAUACUAUUUAUGGAAAGAACAAAAAACCCCAACUUAAAGAGAUGAGGAUUUAGCUCAACAGCACAACCACCUGCCUGGCAAGCACAAGGUCAUGAGUUUGAUCCCCAGUACCAAACAAACAACAAAAAAACGCCCAACUUAUCAAAAGUUUGUCUAAAUACUACUUGCUGUUCAAAGUAAAAUUUUCAUACCUGUCUCAUAAUCACUUGUAGAUAUGUCAAAUGUUAAUAUUUGCUUUCAAGUAGGAUAAGAGAUAUCAUUACUAUUGGUUUUACAGCCAAAUAAAAGCAGCUCACUCUAACACACCCAGGUGCGUGAGCUAGCUAUACCUUCAUUUUAGACAGGAAACUCAGUUAGAGAAAAUGUCUCCAUGCCAAAGCCAGAGAACUGAGUUAGACUAAGAUCUUUUACUUCCAAGUCCCUUUGUCCUGCAGUCAUCCUGAGGCCACUGUCAAAUGCAGAUCCAACAAGCCUCAUGCCAUAGCCCUGUGGCUGAGUCUCACCACAUUCCACAGGGUAUCCAGCCCAUGGAGUGGUUUCUAGGGUCAGCUGGCAUGGCAGAGGCUGUGGCUCCUUGGGGCGACCAGCCUGUCCUCACCUCACCCACGGUAUGUGACAGGAAGGGCCUAGCAGGUGAGGCCAAGAGGUGCAGGUGGGGGAGCUGUCCUGGGCUAUGGCAAAGUGGGGGGGCUAUGGGAAUUUGUGGCAUUAUUACUGUGACCACUACCACAGCCACUCUGUUCUUUCAACCACAAAAAUACAACCCAUUUCCUUAGCAAGCUUUAUGAUCUCUUUCCUUCUUUUUAACAAUGCUGAGCAGGCAAACUUGGGUAAUUUUUUGAGGCCACAGAACUACUCAGUGAUAUGCAGGAGGAAGUGGGUCAGUUCCCUCUAGCAGGCCAUGAGGCUUCAAAAAGCAGGUAAGAAAAAUGGCUAAUGUACAAAGAAAAGACCUUCUACAAAAUGAUUAUAAAGAAUGUAUUUAGCUGGCCAUGGUGGCACAUCCUGUGAUCCCAGAACUCUGGGACACUGAGGCAAGAGGACUGAGUUCAAGCCCAGACUGGGCAAGUUAGCAAGAUUCUGUCUCAAAAUUAAAAAGAAAAAAUUAUAAAGGGAGUGAGGUAGAGAUAUAGCUCAGUGGACCUGGGCUCAAUCCCUACAACCACAGACACACACCAAAUGUAUUGGACAAUUAUACAAAAGAUGAAAUUUGUGCCAGGCAUGGUGGCUCAUGCCUAUAAUCCCAGCCUCAAGAGGCUGAGGCAGGAGGAUCAUUGUGACUUUGAGACCAGCCAGGGUUACAAAGCAAGCUCAAGGCCAGCCUGAAUUGCAUGGAGAGACCCUGCCUCAAAAAAAAAAAAAAAAAAAAAAAAAAGAUGAAA